AGUCAGUGAUGCUGUAUAAGAGUAGUGGACAGAAGUGAUUUCUGAGCAUUUUUUUAACUGAGACU